AUCUCUAUGAAAGAUCGGAUGUAUCACGUUAAAAAUCUCUGUUCACAGAAGCUAAGCAACGCCAUGCCCAGUCAGUACUUGAGAGGGUUGCUACUUGAAAACACGGGGUGCCAAAAUUA